GCUACACAGCUAGCUUAUACACCUAAAAAACCAACAAACAUUAAAAACCUUCACAAAACAACAACAAUUUAAACUAAAACAUUCUACCGCCAAAGUAUGUGAGACAGAAAAGGCACCUUUUAAAGCUAUAGUUAUAGUACCGCAAGGGAACGCUGAAAAAGAAAUGAAACAAAUUAUUAAAGCACAACAAAGCAGAGACCAACCCUCGUACCUUUUGCAUCAUGAUUUAGCUAGUACUACUGAGCAAAGUGUACUUCAGUUCAAACCCCCGAAACUAAGUGAGCUACCCCGAGACAGCCUAUUAAAUUAGGGCCAACCCGUCUCUGUGGCAAAAGAGUGGGAAGAUCUCCGGGUAGAGGUGACAAACCUACCGAACUUAGUUAUAGCUGGUUGCCUAAGAAAUGAAUAGAAGUUCAGCCUCACACCCCUUUAUCUAAAUAUACAUGACAGACUAAAGAAACAUGUGAGAGUUAUUCAUAAGGGGUACAGCCCUUAUGAAACAGAAUACAAUCUCAACAGGAGGUUAAAGAUUAUAGUUAACAAGAUAUAUUGCUUCAGUGGGCCUAAAAGCAGCCACCAGAUCAGAAAGCGUUAAAGCUCUAGCAAACUCUAAAUCCCUUAUUUAAAUAUUAAAUCUAAAACCCCUAACUAUAUUAGGCCAUCCCAUGCCAACAUGGUAAAGAUAAUGCUAAAAUGAGUAAUAAGAAGACCACCUUCUUCUCCAAGCCUACGUGUAUACUAGACCGAACCCAUCACUAGUAAUUACCGAACCCAAUCAAAGAGGGCAAUGUGACCUCAAUAGAUAUCUAGAAACACCCACACAACUAAUCGUUAAUCUCACACCAGAAGGCACUUAAGGAAAGACUAAAAGAAAAAGAAGGAACUCGGCAAACACAAGCCUCGCCUGUUUACCAAAAACAUCGCCUCCUGCAAAAAUCAACGUAUAAGAGGUCCUACCUGCCCAGUGACAAGUUAAACGGCCGCGGUAUUUUGACCGUGCGAAGGUAGCGCAAUCACUUGUCUUUUAAAUGAAGACCUGUAUGAAUGGUAAAACGAGGGCUUGACUGUCUCCCUUUUCAAGUCAAUGAAAUUGAUCUGCCCGUGCAGAAGCGGACAUUAAAAUACAAGACGAGAAGACCCUUUGGAGCUUAAGAUACAAGAUCAUCUAUGUCAAGAACCUACAACUGGUUAAACUAUAUAGAACCUGAUCUCAAUCUUCGGUUGGGGCGACCACGGGAGAAAAUAAAGCUCCCACGCAGACGGGGCACCACCCCAAAAUCAAGAGGGACACCUCUAAAUAACAGAACUUCUGACAAUAAAGAUCCGGCCACACGCCGAUCAACGGACCAAGUUACCCUAGGGAUAACAGCGCAAUCCCCUUCCAGAGCCCAUAUCGACAAGGGGGUUUACGACCUCGAUGUUGGAUCAGGACAUCCUAAUGGUGCAGCCGCUAUUAAGGGUUCGUUUGUUCAACGAUUAAAGUCCUACGUGAUCUGAGUUCAGACCGGAGCAAUCCAGGUCAGUUUCUAUCUGUAACGCCACUUUUCCUAGUACGAAAGGACCGAAAAAGAGGGGCCCCUAUUAAAAAUAUGCCCCACCCUAAUUUAAUGCAAUCAACUAAAUUAAAUAAAAGGAGGGCAUAAUCCUCAAACCCAGAUAAGGUUAU
rnacentral:rRNA from 1 species